AGGUAUGGAGACACUGGGGUGAGAUUGCAGAUGGUUGUUAAAGAACAACUUGUACCGAACGUGACCAACAUGAGAAACUAUUUGGAUAUCUACUCACUCGUCAGUGAUUUUCUCGAUACUGUAGUGAUAUAUCUGAUCUUUUGACCGCGGUGCAUUGGCUAUUCAUAGCAAGACUAUUUAAUUUGACUGCAUAUUUCUUUGGUCCCUAGUCAUUCG
rnacentral:lncRNA from 1 species